rnacentral:rRNA from 1 species
UGGGGAAUCUUGCGCAAUGGGCGAAAGCCUGACGCAGCAACGCCGCGUGUGUGAUGAAGGCCUUCGGGUUGUAAAGCACUGUCAGGAGGGAAGAAAACUCAGUGGCUAAUACCCAUUGAGGAUGACGGUACCUCCGAAGGAAGCACCGGCUAACUCCGUGCCAGCAGCCGCGGCAAUACGGAGGGUGCGAGCGUUGUUCGGAAUCAUUGGGCGUAAAGCGCGUGUAGGCGGGCUGGCAAGUCAGGUGUGAAAUCCCGAGGCUCAACCUCGGAAUUGCGCCUGAAACUGCUGGUCUUGAGUACGGGAGGGGGCAGCGGAAUUCUUGGUGUAGGGGUGAAAUCCGUAGAUAUCAGGAGGAACACCGAUGGCGAAGGCAGCUGCCUGGACCAGUACUGACGCUGAGACGCGAAAGCGUGGGGAGCAAACAG